rnacentral:rRNA from 1 species
AUUGAACGCUGGCGGCAGGCCUAACACAUGCAAGUCGAACGAGUGGCGGACGGGGGAGUAAUGUCAGGGAAACUGCCAGAUGGAGGGGGAUAACUACUGGAAACGGUAGCUAAUACCGCAUACAAUCGGAUGUGCCCAGGUGGGAUUAGCUUGUAGGGGAGGUAACGGCUCACCUAGGCGACGAUCCCUAGCUGGUCUUAGAGGUUGACCAGCCACUCUGGCACUGAUGCACGGUCCAGCCUCCUACGGGAGGCCGCAGUGUGGAAUCUUGCACGAUUGGCGCAAGCCUUAUGCAGCCAUGCCGCGUGUAUGAAGAAGGCCUUCGGGUUGUAAAGUACUUUCAGCGGUGAGGCGUUACCCGCCGAAGAAGCCCCGGCUAACUCCGUGCCAGCCGCCGCGGUAAUAC